rnacentral:rRNA from 1 species
UUGCUAGUAAUCGCGGAUCAGCAUGCCGCGGUGAAUCCGUUCCCGGGCCUUGUACACACCGCCCGUCACACCACGAGAGUUUGUAACACCCGAAGUCGGUGCGAGAACCUUUAUGGACUCAGCCGCCGAAGGUGGGACAAAUGAUUGGGGUGAAGUCGUAACAAGGUAGCCGUAUCGGAAGGUGCGGCUGGAUCACCUCCUUUCU